CUAGAACACUAGGGGAACCAAAAGGUUGAGAUACGUCAGUAGACCCUUAAAACUUGAUCUAGUUAAGACUAGCGUAAGGAAGUGUAUAAGCAAGGCA
rnacentral:ncRNA from 1 species